CGUAGGGAAACUUACGCUAAUACCGCAUACGACCUUCGGGUGAAAGCAGGGGGACCUUCGGGCCUUGCGCGGAUAGAUGAGCCGAUGUCGGAUUAGCUAGUUGGCGGGGUAAAGGCCCACCAAGGCGACGAUCCGUAGCUGGUCUGAGAGGAUGAUCAGCCACACUGGAACUGAGACACGGUCCAGACUCCUACGGGAGGCAGCAGUGGGGAAUAUUGGACAAUGGGCGCAAGCCUGAUCCAGCCAUACCGCGUGGGUGAAGAAGGCCUUCGGGUUGUAAAGCCCUUUUGUUGGGAAAGAAAAGCAGUCGGCUAAUACCCGGUUGUUCUGACGGUACCCAAAGAAUAAGCACCGGCUAACUUCGUGCC
rnacentral:rRNA from 1 species